UCCGAGAUCGUCUAAUGGUAGGACACCAGGUUCUGGUCCUGGCAAUUUAGGUUCGAAUCCUAGUCUCGGAGCCA
rnacentral:tRNA from 1 species